rnacentral:tRNA from 1 species
UCCGGGAUCGUUCAAUGGUAGGACACCAGCUUUUGGAGCUGGUCAUGGGGGUUCGAAUCCUCCUCCCGGAA